AAUCAAUGAAGAUAUUUGACCAAUCUGUUUGAAAGGAUGCCAUAUGGAUUUUGAUUCUGCUGGGCAGCUUAUUUUGAAAGCGAAGAAAAGUAUAUUCCUUCCAGAGCAUCUCCUCAAAAACGAUGUUCUCUAUAGGCUGUUCCAGAAAUCAUUUCAUACCAUAUAAUAUAUUUUUUUUCUCGUUUACAACUUUAUUUUCUAAAGACAUGUGUCCUUUGAUAAAAUUUAUUUAAAUAUAUUAAAAUGUGAAAAUAAAUUACUUCAUCACAUUGUCUUAAACAAAAAUGUUUUAUUUUAAUAUAAAAUUAAUUUCACCCACUUAGUGAACUAUGAGCAUAUCACAUCUGUAAGCUUUCAUGAAAUGGUUAGGAAACCAUUUGCUUGAGCUACAAAUAAGGAUGAUAAAAUUGUUUGAUACAGUUUCUAGAUUUGAGUUUUUUCUAAUUUACUUCCUCCAUUUUUUAUUUUAUUUACCUUAAAUAUUAUUUCUUCAGAAUUAUCAAAUUUUGUAAAUAGGGAAAACACCUGAGAGAUUUAGGAUGCAGAAAAUGACAAGGAAUAGCAUUUACCUUUUCCAAGAUCACUAGCAAUGGAAAUGGUACAAAUAGCACCACAGUUACAUUUUCCCAUUUAUCAAAUCUCUCGUAUUCAGCUCUGCACCAUUUUCUACUUAUUUCUGGCACCUCUACACCUUUUCAUUGAAAGAGUUUUUCUGUAAUGCUUAUAUUUUUUCCCCCCCUUUUUUUUUUCUGAUGUUUGUUUGUCUUCCACUAAAUAAAGUAUUGUUCUUCACAAUACUUGUUCCUCUUUACUAGAGAUUAGUUUGGUGACCUUUCCAACUACAACAGCUGUUUUCACUCAACAAGGGACCAAAUUCUAUGCUGAUUGUAUGUUUGAUUGCACUCAAAUAGCCUGGCCCUGAGAGAGGUGUAUAGCUCAAAAGCUGAAGCUGACUUGUACAUUAAAAACUGUCUCCAUUUCAAUUCUAUAUUUUUAACAGAAUAUCUUUAGUAGAUCCUUAGCUAUUAUUCUUGUUACAUACAAAAUUCUUUGGAUUCCAAAUUAUGGUUCAAUUUCACCAAACUUUCCAGUUAAUGGUUAACUACUGCUUGGCUCAUUAUUAUUAUUAUUUAUUAGUUUUUUUUUUUAAUAAAAACAAUUAUGUUCAGUAUUUAAAUUGCUUCAAUUGAGCUUUUGUAAUAUUGAAAAAGUCUAACACUGAACUUUAUAGUCUUUGACUAGACAACUUGUUUUAAUAAAGAAUUUUAUUCUAUAAUGAAAAUGACAUUGCAAAUUGCAGUUUUUCCAUUUAUUUUAUUUCUUUUAUUUUUUUUCCGUUUAUGAUUUCUCUUUAGUAAUUAUAAGAGCCUGUUCUGUGAAAAGGGAAGUGUGUACGUUUGUAUAAUUCCAAAUUUAUUACUUAUUCUAUCCUGAUGAAAAUAAGAACGGUUUCUUUUGUCUGGUUAUCAAAACAGAAAUAUUACAUGGCUAUAUUAAGGUAAAACACCCUUAAAUUUAUCUGUUCAGGCUAUACUGCUUUUUUAAUGAUAAUCACAGAAAUAGAAUAGAUAUUAGAGAAUCCUUUUUUUUUUCUGGAACAUACUUCUUGGAAGAACUCUGUCAUAGGGAAAAUUCUUCAUUCUUAAGAAUUUUUUGUCAACCAUUGUUUUUUUUUCACAAGUUGCUUUUUGAAAUGUUACUCAAAUUUUAAAUUAUAUUGUCUGUAAUAAAGAUGAGGAUAAAGAUAUCAAUUUAAAAUAUUGAAAGUUAGUGGUGUUUUAGAGGAAUUAGUUCUAGAAAAGGACCAGGCUGUGUUGAAUGUGUAGAAAGGUGAAAUAAGAGGAGCAGAGAUUGUUGUAGAAGACAGGAAGGACACAGCAGUUCGGGAGUAUAAAGGAAUGAAGGUUAACUUUACAGCUUUUAAAUAUUGGUUUCCAGUUUUGGCACAAGGCCAGCAAUUUCAGGUGUGGGAGUCGGGGGCUAGUCAAUUACAUUGACCCCAAUGCUCAACUGGGACUUAUUUUAUCAACCAUGAAAGGAAACGCCAACCUUGGUCGAAUUUGAGCUCAGAACAUAAUGACUGAUGGAAUGCUACUAAGCAUUUUGCCUGGCGUGGAACCGAUUCUACCAGCUCACCACCAGAUACAGCUUUUAGAUAUGACCAAGAAUAUAUAUAUAUGUGUGUGUGAUUGGUGAACUGUUUCAUGUGUGAAAGGCAUAAUGUCUGGAAAGGGUUAGUAGCUGUUAAGGACUGAAGUAUUUUCUGGUUCUGGAAAGGAAAUCCUGCUUUUGUGAUGGAAUCUUCAUUAGGUAAAAAAACAUUAGGCUACCAGAAUAAUUGAACUGAUUAUUACAGUUAAUUUGUAUUUACUCUGUUGUUGACCUUAAGUUCAUUCCUAUACUCUCAGAACACAAUCUUGAGUCUGUUUAUGUAUAGAAUCCAAUUUAAAUUUUCAUAUACUUAAGAAAAAAUUUUACAUGAGUGCUUCUACAGUUGGUAUCAUUAUAUUAAUGUGUGUGUGUGGUUCCAAUUUUAUAUAUAUAUAUAUAUAUAUAUAUAUAUAUAUAUAUAUUGGAGCAUGGUGCAGCCUCCUGGCUUCCCAGACCCCGAUCGAACUGUCCAACCCAUGCUAGCAUAAAACAACGGACGUUAAACAAUGAUGAUGAUAUUUAUAUAUAAACUAAUGCAAAGAUCGAACAAUUAAUGAUAUCUCGGUCAAGAGGGGUCCUUUCCCUUGAUGCUUCUUGUGGAAUUGGUAAAGAAUUUUUGCUCAACCUAAUUUGGACCAAAGUUUAAUCUCUCAAAUAUUAUUGCAGAGUCCUCAUUUGGAGUUUUAUCAGCUUUGUUCACAGGUGGCAGCACUUAUGUCAUUCUGUCUUUUUAAGCUGCCACUCAACCUACAGUGACAGUCUUGUGUGCAAUGUUAACAAUUUAGAGGUUUCGAAGCAGUCCAAACUGAAAGUAUCAGGCGACUGCACAAUGUCUCAAAGACUGCAUUGGCAGCUCCCUAUCACAACCUACAACUCAGCUGAAGUCAGUUUUUUUCUCUGGUGAUUUCAGGCAAACUCUGCCAAUCAUUCUAAAGGAUACUCAGGCUGAUGAGUUUGAGAGAAGGCCUCAAAUAUUUCUUUCUUCCAAUUAGAGAAUCACACUUAAUAGCACUUUCUUGUAAGGAAUGGACGUGUCUAAAUAUUAAAAAAAAAUGUAGAGUAAUGAACACAUCUCAAGAAAUGCUUCUGAGUUUAUCCCCAUUCAGCCAUCUGUUGCAUCUCCUUACAAUCUGCAACUAAAAGUAGGAGUACCUACGAAGUUUGGAUGCAUCAAAACCCUGUAAUAGCAAAAGGCUGCAAAGUUCUUAUGCCUCGUGAGAUUGAAGCCAUCAUUAUGAGUGGUUGUGCCAAGGGAGAUCCUUAUUCCUUCAGAUGUGCUCUCUCCGUUCAAGUGCCUUCAGUGUUCUGUGAUAUAUGAAUGUGUGUGUGUGUGCACAAAUCCUCAUAGACAUGCAUAUUUGUAUGUAGACACAUUUAUACACAAUGAAUGAAUGUGUAUGUAUGUAUAUGUGCAUUAAUUCAGACAUGCAGUCAACAUGUAUAGGAUGCACUGAUAUAAUAAAAUGAAAUCCUUUCUAUUCCCAUUUACAAAUACUAAUCACUUCUAUGCCUUGCCAACUGAGUUGGAUAAAAAUUCACUGAGGAGAUUUGAUACAAAUGAAUCAUGUCUUGCUUUUUUAAACACAAGGUCCACUCUGAUCUAUCAUUUUCAUUUUCCAUUAAAUUAGUUCAUAUUAUUGGAUUUAUCUCCCUUGCUUGUGUUGAUUUUUUUUUCUUUUAAGUUUUUGAAUGCCUCUUUAGGAAACUUUGUUUACUAAUUGCAUGGAUAAUUUCAGUUAACCAAAGCUUUCCAACUCUGAGACUCAACAACAUAUGUCAAUUAUACGAUACUAAUAAAGUCGUUGUCCCCUGACAAAGCUAACGGAAAGAGCAUUCUGAUGAGACAGUGAAAGCAGAAUGCGUCUUGGUACCAUGGUACCGUGGCUGAUUACAAACUACCUGUAAUUUUAUGCAAACAGUGACUAAUGUAUGUCACCUGUUUUACCGUUCUUUCUCUACUUUUGGGUGAUUUUGCAUAGAUUCUCUUAAACGCCCAGGUGGCUCACCACAAGUAGUUGAUAGUUUCUGUUACCUAGAAGACAUAGUUAGGGUGGGACGGGGAGAUGGUUACUUGGAAAGUGUAGUAGCCGGGUUACGAACAGGUUGGAAAAAGUUCAGGGAGCUACUACCAUUGCUGACUAGGGUGUAACUGGGUGUUGGCAGGGUCCACCUCAGAUGGCAUUUUUGGGUCUGCUGUAUAAACAUAUGUACAUACAUGCAUACAUACGUAUGUAUAGCAGGAAUAUUUGGGAGAGGGAAGCGGCAAACUCAGAGACUGCCCUGGCAGCACACACUCUAGUUACAUCACUGUGGUGGCACCAAGUUUUUCUCUCAGAAUGAAAGUGGUGUGCUAGAACUGCGAUGCUGCGUGGUAACUUGACAUGAGUCUUGCAAUCAGAAAAUUUGUGGAAACUUGAAAAAAAUGAAGCUGUCUUGCUCUGAUGGAUGUGGUAUGUCAGUGUACUUGGUUGCCAGAAUAGAAAUGAGCCAAGAGGAGAAAUGGAUAUAAGUGGAAUCAGGUGUAGUGUGCAGAAGAUGAGAGACUAUGUUGAUACAAGCAUGAGAUGUGUUUGAAGAUGACUGUUGCAGUCUGUGGAAGAGGAGGGCCAAAGAAAACUUAGGACCAAAAUGGUGAAAGCUGAUCUGAAGACAAAAGACUCUACAGAUUGCCAGUACGUGAUGUUAUAGAAUACUUGUCCACCCAAGAAAAAGAAAAACACAAGGGGAGCAAUUAAAAAGCUGUGACACAGACAUAUAUACAUACGGCAAGAAUGUUUGAUAGAGUCCUAAACACCAACUCAUUGACUAGAAAUCAAACCUGAAUCACUGUUCAGAAGAAAAAAAAUGAUAAAUAACAGAAUUCUGUCAUGGAUUGAUAACAUCAACAAAAAGCUGACCACUCAAAUCUCAAGUAGAACCCUCAUGAACAUGCUUUUAAUCAAUAGCUGAAGUGACCAACAAAAUACAAUAAAUCCAACAGAUGUUUUACCCUUUGAAUCCUUAUGUUGUAUACAAUCAUAAUUUUGGACAAAUGACAUACUGAAAUGUCAUUAACAAUUUUGUCUUUGGCUCCUUUUCGUUGAAAGACAUUAUGCAUAGUUUGUUUAUCUGCUAAUUUUCCAGUGACCAUAAAGCAGCCAAGAAAUUUAUGACACUACAGAAAUUUAUGGCACUCGACAACAACCACAGAAUGAAUUCAGUCCACUCAUGGCUGCUGACAAACACAAAUUGAUUCACUUGUCUUAAAUAUUUUCUUUUCUGUCAUUCACCAUAACAACACAUUAUUUUGUUUAUGAUUAAUAAAUAUUUUGUAUUUGGAACUUCA